UACCAGCUCUCCGAGUGGUGUGGAUGUUUAUUGGGCCUAAAGCAUCCGUAGCUGGCUGGGCAAGUCCCCUGUUAAAUCCACCGAUUUAAUCGUUGGAGUGCGGGGGAUACUGCUCGGCUAGGGGACGGGAGAGGCAGACGGUAUUUUCGGGGUAGGGGUGAAAUCCUAUAAUCCCGAGAAGACCACCAGUGGCGAAGGCUGUCUGCUAGAACGUGCCCGACGGUGAGGGAUGAAAGCUGGGGGAGCGAACCGGAUUAGAUACCCGGGUAGUCCCAGCUGUAAACGAUGCAGGCUAGGUGUUUGGACGGCCACGUGCCGUUCUAGUGCCGCAGGGAAGCCGUUAAGCCUGCCGCCUGGGGAGUACGGCCGCAAGGCUGAAACUUAAGGAUUGGCGGGGAGCACCACAAGGGUGAAGCUUGCGGUUU
rnacentral:rRNA from 1 species